rnacentral:tRNA from 1 species
GCCGCCGUGGCUUAGCCUGGCAGAGCGACUGAUUCGUAAUCAGUAGGUCGCGGGUUCAAUUCCCGCCGGCGGCU